CCGUUCGCCAGCCCGCGUCAAGAAACUACAAAUGAAGUUGACGGGGGCCCGGCGACAAGCGGAGGAGCAUGUGGUUUAAUUCGAUGAUACGCGAGGAACCUUACCUGGGCUCGAACGUAAGAUGACUGUAGGUGAAAGCUUACAUCUCUUCGGAGCAUUUUACGAGGUGCUGCAUGGUUGUCGUCAGCUCGUGCCGUGAGGUGUCGGGUUAAGUCCCAUAACGAGCGCAACCCCUACCUUUAGUUGCCAUCAGGUUAAGCUGGGGACUCUAAAGGAACUGCCUACGCAAGUAGUGAGGAAGGCGGGGAUGACGUCAAAUCAGCACGGCCCUUACGUCCAGGGCUACACACGUGCUACAAUGGCCGAUACAGAGGGCAGCUACCUGGUGACAGGAUGCAAAUCUCCAAAGUCGGUCUCAGUUCGGAUCGGAGUCUGCAACCCGACUCCGUGAAGUUGGAUUCGCUAGUAAUCGCGCAUCAGCCAUGGCGCGGUGAAUACGUUCCCGGGCCUU
rnacentral:rRNA from 1 species